GGUGACUUGUCUGAGGAGCCCACAGGAGGAAGCUAGGAGGGGCUACCUUGUCUGAAGACAUGAGGCCCUCAGAGACCUUCCUGAUUCUUCUACAUACAGAAGACCAAAGCGAAUCUAAUAUUCUGCACUGAAUUGUUCCAAUUCCACAUAUUUUUAGGAAAGCGGCUUCUCCUUGUCUUGAGUCCAGUCAGAUUAAAGAAUGGGAGAUGCUAAGUAAUGAGAAUCUGAGGAACAGACGAUUGGUACUGAACAGUCAUGUCCUUGCUGUGGAUAUACCCAAAAGUGGGAUUAUUUCAGGUGCUUUAUUAAAAAGCGGUGGAAAGCUUUCUCAUACACAACCUGUCAUGUAUCUAGAGUACCAUUACUUUCUAAGUCAAUGGAAACCAG
rnacentral:lncRNA from 1 species